rnacentral:rRNA from 1 species
UACGUAGGGUGCGAGCGUUAAUCGGAAUUACUGGGCGUAAAGCGUGCGCAGGCGGUUUUGUAAGCCAGAUGUGAAAUCCCUCGGCUUAACCGAGGAACUGCCCUCCAAACUGCUUUGCUUGAGGCCGGGAGAGGUGAGUGGAAUUCCCAGUGUAGCGGUGAAAUGCGUAGAUAUCAAGAGGAACACCUGAGGUGAAGACGGGUUGCUGGGCUGACACUGACGCUGAUGCGCGAAAACCAGGGGAGCAAACGGG